CACUUUAUGCAAUUUUCUCCGUUCUUUGUCGACACAUGUUGUGAUUCUCAAUCCAACGCUUCAGUUGUCCAAUGGUUUUGCUCCACCGAUCGUUACUUUAAGCUAACUCCAUCAUACGUCUCCUUCACCUUCACAUGGAAAAUAGACAUUGACGGAGCGCGGUGCCAAAAACUUGCAACCGUACAACUUCUCCACACCACCAUCAUCGAUCCUUCAUCGACGUUCUUACCCAAUCCGUUGUUACAACCAUACAUACGAUUUGCCCUCCCUCUCUCUCGAUUCCAGCUUGCUCAGGUUACUUCCACCGACUCACCACCAUCGAUUCGAACACCAGUGUGUAUGCCGAUAUUUGAGGAACUUUAAAUGGAGAGCAUGUAGAUGAUUGACAGGCUACGGUGAACAGACGGGAAACCACCCACUUUCUUGCUUAUUUAACAACUUAUGGAGGACUACAUCUGAUUUGGAGAGAUUAGAAAAGAUGAUGUAUCAUUCAAUUCGACUAGCAGCAGAUGUUCAUUAAUAUUUUACAUAAAUGUUUUGAUUUUAAUUAUAUUUUUAUUUUCAGAGUAUGGAAUAUUUAUUUCUACUUUUGUUCUUAAAUAUGCAACUUGAAUAAGUUGUUCAGGGUAUGUAUAAUCACAGAGCAUAUUUUCCUCUCACAGUCCCUCUCUAAACCUAAAAACUGAAGAGAGGAGCAUGGCGAUUUUCAUAUGCGAGAGGUAUGGGAGAGACAAUGGAAACAGGAAAAUAGAAGGGGUGCAUUGAAGGCAGAGGCUAAUUGCAACUUUUUUCACUAAUGCCUAAUUGAUUUGUUAAUGAAAUGUCAGGGAAAGCUAUCAGAUGUUCAGUGUGGGGAUCAGAUGGAACUACAAGAGAAUCUGUAGGUAGUGCACUAUUCUUCUUUCUGUUUUCUAUGUCUUCCCUUUUCCAUCUUAGCGGGUAAAAAAGUUUCCAGUUGCUUACUUGCUCCCACAUGUGAUUGUAGUUGAAUAAGAAUAUGGUGUUUGGAUGGUAACAUAAUGCUUUUCUUUUGAUUUACUGUUGGACAGACUACGUUAUUAAAAGAAUGUAAAGUUUCUAAUUUGUACAAUGAUAUCAUAUGGCUUAACAUUAUUCUUAAUGGAUCUAUCUUUGGAUCCUACUCUUUGGAUAUAAUCAAUGUUUGUAUA